AGCAGCCGCGGUAAUUCCAGCCCCAAUAGCGUAUAUUAAAGUUGUUGCAGUUAAAAAGCUCGUAGUUGAAUUUCGGGGUUAGUAGGCUGGUCGUGCCACAGGUAUGCACUGGUCUUACCGAUUCCUCCUUCCUGAUGAACCGUAAUGCCAUUAAUUUGGUGUUGCGGGGAGUCUGGACUGUUACUUUGAAAAAUUGAGUGUUUAAAGCAGGCUAACGCUUGAAUACAUUAGCAUGGAAUAACGAAAUAGGACGUUCGAUCCUAUUUUGUUGGUUUCUAGGAUUGACGUAAUGAUUAAUAGGGAUAGUUGGGGCAUUAGUAUUCAAUUGUCAGAGGUGAAAUUCUUGGAUUUA
rnacentral:rRNA from 1 species